GGCGAACGCUGGCGGCAGGCUUAACACAUGCAAGUCGAGCGGGCCCUUCGGGGUCAGCGGCAGACGGGUGAGUAACGCGUGGGAACGUGCCCUUCGGUUCGGAAUAACUCAGGGAAACUUGAGCUAAUACCGGAUACGCCCUUAUGGGGAAAGGCUUGCUGCCGAAGGAUCGGCCCGCGUCUGAUUAGCUAGUUGGUGAGGUUAUGGCUCACCAAGGCGACGAUCAGUAGCUGGUCUGAGAGGAUGAUCAGCCACACUGGGACUGAGACACGGCCCAGACUCCUACGGGAGGCAGCAGUGGGGAAUAUUGGACAAUGGGGGCAACCCUGAUCCAGCCAUGCCGCGUGAGUGAUGACGGCCUUAGGGUUGUAAAGCUCUUUUCUCCGGGACGAUAAUGACGGUACCGGAGGAAUAAGCCCCGGCUAACUUCGUG
rnacentral:rRNA from 1 species